GGAAAAUGCUCAGCUUACGGGCAAGAAGGAGCAGAUAACAAAAAGUUCCUCCCAUAGGUUAUAUAAAUCAGAGAACUAAACAUCAUUACUUCCUUUUAAAUUUUCUUAUUUUUAAUCGAGGUAAAAUACACCUAAUAUUUGCCAUCUAACCCUUGCAAGUGUACAUUUUAGUAGUGUAAGAUACAUUCACAUUGUUGUACAAUCAUUACUUCUUGAAUAUCUUUUCUCAAAUCUGUCUUAAAGUCAGGAGAUAUGAGUGGAGGAUUCAAGGAUUCGAACCACAAAGCCUCGACAUCUAGUGAAUGUAAUCUGGAAGGUAUGUUGAUUGUUGGGAAGAAAAUUCCAUAUAUUAAAAAUAAGUUUGCACUGGGAAGGUAAAAAAUGUCUUCUAGCCUUCAGGAUUCUCUCCUUUCUCCUCUCCCCAUCACAACCCAGUUCUUGAGAAUGUGUGCACACAGACAAAGAAAAUUGUUUUAUGCUUUACAGAAGGGAGGAGAAAGACACUAAAAGAGAACUGUGAGGCUUUGAGAUCUAUUAAAGUGGAAAAGGAAGCUGAAUUAAAAAUGUUGAAGAUGAACAUAGGCGUGACUGAUGAACUCUUUGGACAAAGCAAGAUGGUCAUAGACAAGAAGCUGAGAAUGAAAGAACGUGAGAGGGUGGAAAAGGAGAAGCAGCUCUCUCAUCAGCAGAAAAGAAGGUGAAAUUGGCUGCAGAAGAAAUGCAGCGCUGCAAGCAACAAACUGAUCAAAUGCGGCAACAGGUGCAGCAAGUAGAGUCCACCUUCAGACACCAGAUCGCUGUGCAUGAGAAGAAUGCUCAAGAUAGUUGGAUCAAGGCUCGGAUUUUGGAGAGGGAGAUAGUGGAGCAGAGCAGGGAAGCCGCUCACUUGAAACACAGAUUGGAGAUAAUGUCCCAAAAGAGGCUUCCUGAGGGAUACAGGCCGUACGAACCAAUGUUGCAAAGACCUGGGAUGCAGAACCCUGCACAGAGAGGACGAUGAUUUUGAAAGAGGAGCCUGAGCCGUGAUAAAAGGCUAUGGCAAUUGAUUAUGGUUUUCCCUGCCCAAUCCUGCCUCCUCCACUUUUAUCUUUCCUAUUGUCUCCCCUAAUACACCCUUUAUGGUUCUAACUCAGUGUCAGCGUCUGCUUUUUGGAGGACCAACCGACUCACUCCAGGGAGUGUACACAGUGUGAGUCUUGUACGCGCAGUUCAAAAACAGGCAGAAACCAUGGGAAUGAGGCAGAAGCAAGGUUAUUUUGGGAGGGGUACUGUUGACUGCGAGGGGCCUGAGAAGUCC
rnacentral:lncRNA from 1 species